rnacentral:rRNA from 1 species
UACGUAGGUGGCAAGCGUUGUCCGGAUUUAUUGGGCGUAAAGCGCGCGCAGGCGGUCCUUUAAGUCUGAUGUGAAAUCUUGCGGCUCAACCGCAAGCGGUCAUUGGAAACUGGGGGACUUGAGUACAGAAGAGGAAAGCGGAAUUCCACGUGUAGCGGUGAAAUGCGUAGAGAUGUGGAGGAACACCAGUGGCGAAGGCGGCUUUCUGGUCUGUAACUGACGCUGAGGCGCGAAAGCGUGGGGAGCAACAGG